CUAGAAAAAACAUAGUGCUUGCGCUGUGACUGCCUCUUUGAGGAAAAAAUCAGGCAAUUGAAGCAGGAUAACAAUCACUUACCUUUGAAGAAGGGAGACUGGAUAUGCAAUAUAUGCAAUUUCCUCAAUUUUGCAAAGACAUACAAGAUGUUUGCAAGUGCAAAGGAGGGCUUCCAAUCGUCACCUUAAUCCUGGUGAAUGGGAAGGUGACUCGUGGGCUCUUUUAACCUUACUGUUAUUUUGUUUUCAGUUAUAUGCCAGAAUGAACAGUUUUUUUUAUUUACUUGCUAUUGACGAACUUGACUGGUUCCGUUGCUUGUAGGUGCAAUUACAUCAAUUCAAGGCGAGCAGAAACAUGGUUUGCCUGAAAGUGUGACCAAGACGGCCUUAUUGUAUCAAGGGCGUCAAAUUUUCUCUUCCAACCUCAGCAAAGAAGACAUAGAUCACCCAUAAGAUUGGCAAAUUUGGUUCUGGUGCACAUCAGGGUAAUAGAAGUGGUGAAAGAAAGAAUAGGAACAUAGGUUCACAUAUGUGGAGAUUUGUAGAGGACAAGAGUGAAAAUCACAAGCUCGUAAAUAAAUCUAUUGACCCUUCUGAAUUUAUAGAUUUUCCUAUUGUUGGAGGUAAGACUCAGCUGUCUGAGGUAACAAAGGGAGAGAAGAACACAAGACUGAGUUGCCAAAUCAGUGGAGAAGGCCUCCGUGGCAAAGUGAAAACUGAUGAUGAGUGAGUUUUGUUCUUCAGAUAACCACAGUACUGAUGAUGGGGGUUUUGUUCUGCCAUAUAUCAGAGUGCUGCAUGAUGAAGAAAUGACGAAUGGUCGGAAAAGGGAAGAGAAAGGUAGGAUUCUAGAAUAGUAAUCGAUGACAAUGACAUACACUCGAUGACAAUGACGUACACUUUAGUUAUUCGUUUAGAAAGAGGGCUUUAUUCAUAUGUUUUUAUAUUUGAGAGAAGCAUGAAAGUUUUAAGUUCCAGAAAAUAUGUAAAAUAUUUGAGGAGGCCUUUAUAAUUUUUGUUCUGUAAGGAUAUGUUGAUUGUAAUAACUUUUUACGGAGUUAUGAUUAGGGUUUGUUGCUGUUUUUCA